AUUCAUUUGGAGAUGCGGGGUAUCGAUCCCCGUACCUCUCGCAUGCUAAGCGAGCGCUCUACCAUCUGAGCUACAUCCCCUUGUACUUUCUGGCUCUUCUGCGUGAUCAAUCUGACACGAUAUGCAGCCUCUGAUUACCGUUCAUUGACGCCAGAGGAUUUUCCGGGGAAUCUCUCAUACUCUAUGCGGUCAUCUUUGAACUCUCGCAUCUGUUUAGCGAAUCCAUUUUCUGCUUCCGCUCAAUCAGUAUUAUUCACCUACUUUUGAGCUCUGGACUGCUUCAGGUCUUGCUUGCUAUUGCUAAGUUCAAGCAAAUGAUUUGCUACCCAACAACGCCUAAGAAAUGGGCAAUCCUGGCAGGAGGCUUCAGCAUCGGAUGUGCCCUUUUUGGUAUUGGUUUGCAUCUGUCAUAUGUCAAUAUUGCACCUCAACAAGCCCGACUCAAAGCUCGGAAUGAUUUUGUAAGAGAACGCCUAAGAAGACGACAUGGAAAACCAUAGAAAGCUGUUUACUGUCUUGGGCACUAUUUUGGUGACAUUUAGAAGAGCCCUCAUUCUCUCUCCUAUUUGGAAUGUAGGGAUGCUAACUGCUUGAUUUGGUUAUAGUUUUCUUGCUUGUGUGCUUGGUACGUUGCUUUGAAGAGUUGGCAAGGCUGUUCUGUAAUAUCUUCUGGAAACAAUUUUUACUGGAAGUUCAUGGUUGUGAGACUGACAUUGCUUUUGGUUACAUAGAUGUCUGUUAUUCUUGAAAAAAUCAUCCCCCUACUCUUGGGGAUGCUAUUUUUAUUCUCCUUCCGAUGAUUACACAGAUGAAUUGUGCUCAGUUAAUCCAAUUAUUGGGGUGUGCGGUUGGAUUCCAA